GACGGGGGGGGCAAGUGUUCUUCGGAAUGACUGGGCAUAAAGGGCACGUAGGCGGUGAAUCGGGUUGAAAGUGAAAGUCGCCAAAAAGUGGCGGAAUGCUCUCAAAACCAAUUCACUUGAGUGAGACAGAGAAGAGUGGAAUUUCAUGUGUAGGGGUGAAAUCCGUAGAUCUACGAAGGAACGCCAAAAGCGAAGGCAGCUCUCUGGGUCCCUACUGACGCUGGGGUGCGAAAGCAUGGGGAGCGAACAGG
rnacentral:rRNA from 1 species